rnacentral:rRNA from 1 species
AGGGUUUGAUUCUGGCUCAGGACGAACGCUGGCGGCGUGCCUAACACAUGCAAGUCGAGCGGAGACAGUGAGUAGCUUGCUAUGAGCUGUUUUAGCGGCGGACGGGUGAGUAACGCGUGAGCAACCUUUCCCAGACAGGGGAAUAACACACCGAAAGGUGUACUAAUACCGCAUAAGACCACGGGAUCACAUGGUUCUGAGGUAAAAGAUUUAUCGGUUUGGGGUGGGCUCGCGUCCGAUUAGGUAGUUGGUGAGGUAACGGCCCACCAAGCCGACGAUCGGUAGCCGACCUGAGAGGGUGAUCGGCCACAUUGGGACUGAGACACGGCCCAA